rnacentral:misc_RNA from 1 species
AAAGUGCGAUAACUUAGGUGAACUGCAACUGGCGCGAUUCCUUAAAAUUUUGAACGCAUACUGUGCCCCGACUUAACAGUCGGGGCGUGUUUGUUUGAGCGUCUAAUACAAAACAACACUGCUCCGGCACGUGAUCGUGGACCUUGCGAUUCGCUUCGCAUCGUUUUAAAUUCAUGGCAACAAUGUCGCAGGCGUAAACCGCAUCGGCUUCGUUCGUCGUAUGUUAAGGAUAUCAUCCAUUUCUGCGGCACGGGACUUUUGCGAUCGUCGGACAGGGCCCUAUUUAAUCACUUUCUAGACCUCAAAUCAAGCACGAUUACCCGCUGAAUUUAA